AUUGAACGCUGGCGGCAGGCCUAACACAUGCAAGUCGAGCGGAUGAAGGGAGCUUGCUCCUGGAUUCAGCGGCGGACGGGUGAGUAAUGCCUAGGAAUCUGCCUGGUAGUGGGGGAUAACGUCCGGAAACGGGCGCUAAUACCGCAUACGUCCUGAGGGAGAAAGUGGGGGAUCUUCGGACCUCACGCUAUCGGAUGAGCCUAGGUCGGAUUAGCUAGUUGGUGGGGUAAAGGCCUACCAAGGCGACGAUCCGUAACUGGUCUGAGAGGAUGAUCAGUCACACUGGAACUGAGACACGGUCCAGACUCCUACGGGAGGCAGCAGUGGGGAAUAUUAGACAAUGGGCGAAAGCCUGAUCCAGCCAUGCCGCGUGUGUGAAGAAGGUCUUCGGAUUGUAAAGCACUUUAAGUUGGGAGGAAGGGCAGUAAGUUAAUACCUUGCUGUUUUGACGUUACCAACAGAAUAAGCACCGGCUAACUUCGUG
rnacentral:rRNA from 1 species